UACGAAGGGGGCUAGCGUUGCUCGGAAUCACUGGGCGUAAAGGGUGCGUAGGCGGGUCUUUUAAGUCAGGGGUGAAAUCCUGGAGCUCAACUCCAGAACUGCCUUCGAUACUGGCGAUCUUGAGUCCGGAAGAGGUGAGUGGAACUCCUAGUGUAGAGGUGGAAUUCGUAGAUAUUAGGAAGAACACCAGUGGCGAAGGCGGCUCACUGGUCCGGUACUAACGCUGAGGUGCGAAAGCGUGGGGAGCAAACAGG
rnacentral:rRNA from 1 species